rnacentral:rRNA from 1 species
UACGUAGGGUGCAAGCGUUGUCCGGAAUUAUUGGGCGUAAAGAGCUCGUAGGCGGUCUGUCGCGUCUGCUGUGAAAACCCAGGGCUUAACUCUGGGCGUGCAGUGGGUACGGGCAGGCUAGAGUGCGGUAGGGGAGACUGGAAUUCCUGGUGUAGCGGUGAAAUGCGCAGAUAUCAGGAGGAACACCGGUGGCGAAGGCGGCUUACUGGUCCAUAACUGACGCUGAGGUGCGAAAGCGUGGGGAGCAAACAGG